rnacentral:rRNA from 1 species
GACGAACGCUGGCGGCGUGCCUAAUACAUGCAAGUUGAGCGAUGAAGAUUGGUGCUUGCACCACUUUGAAGAGCAGCGAACGGGUGAGUAACGCGUGGGGAAUCUGCCUUUGAGCGGGGAACAACAUUUGGAAACGAAUGCUAAUACCGCAUAAUAACUUUAAACAUAAGUUUUAAGUUUGAAAGAUGCAAUUGCAUCACUCAAAGAUGAUCCCGCGUUGUAUUAGCUAGUUGGUGAGGUAAAGGCCCACCAAGGCGAUGAUACAUAGCCGACCUGAGAGGGUGAUCGGCCACAAUGGGACUGAGACACGGCCCAAAAUCCUACGGGAGGCAGCAGUAGGGAAUCUUCGGCAAUGGACGAAAGUCUGACCGAGCAACGCCGCGGGAGUGAAGAAGGGUUUCGGAUCGGAAAACUCUGUUGGUAGAGAAGAACGUUGGUGAGAGUGGAAAGCUCAUCAAGUGACGGUAACUACCCAGAAAGGGACGGCUAACUACGUG